GCGCAAUGCUUCCGUUUUGGCUAACCCUCAUCCUCCUUCAUGUACUUCCAUUUUGUAAUCGGGGUCUCUGCUAGUGAACCUGUCUAGCCCGCUGGCUUCACUUUCAUAAGAAAUGACACUAAUGAUUGCCGUAGAUUUCUUUUCCAGAAGAAAUAAAGUCAAACGCUGGUUGGAAGUAAAUUGGUCACUUGAAUACAGACAUAAUUCUGACAUUGUGUUUUCUGUAAAAGUUGUUAUUGGAUAUUGGCCCAGCAGUGUACAUGAAAAGAUUUGUUAGUAGGUCAAUUUCUCUCCCUGGUAUGACCACCAAGGCCUUAAGGUGGUCUUAUUCCAACCAGGUGCUUACAAUCCCACCAAAACUAAGAUUGAGAAUAUCCAACAGGCCAGUUCUAUGACCUGGCAUGUAGGGAGUGAUGAGCAAAUGUUUGUUGCUGGCAUGCCGUUACUGUUUGAUUUCUCGUUAAUUAGGUCAUGAAUCACUACAGCCAUGCUGAUUUCCAUGAUUGUCAUCCAAGACAAGAUCAUGAUUGCAUUGAUCAUUUAAAAGCAAGGUUUAAAGUUUGGAAGGUGGAACAACAGCAUUUUCCAAAAGCUAUUUUUAUUACUUCUUUGUGUGAUUGCACAACACAUACAGGUUUUGUGUAUUUGAAAUUUGUUGCACCACUUGCUCUAAUCAGCAAAACCAAUCAUUUUGAGCUGCCAGCUACUUCAGUUUUGGUUUGCUCUCAUUACAGAAAAGUACAUUAAAAUGUGAUUAAGAAUGUCAGCCCUUACAUAUUCAUACAUGUGGAUAAUUUGCUUUAGAGAUUGGGCAGAAUAGUAACUUGUGUAGUUUAUUAACAAUAUUGCAAGCUAUGAGCAUCUUGGAUUCCAUAUUAGACUUGUUUUAAUAUUUUUUCAAUAUUCCAUUUGGAUGGUUAAUGAUGCCAACACUAAAAAAUCCAAAAAGACACAUUGAAAAUGUAAGUCUUCUUUACCUGUGAAUGAUAAAAUAACCAGUAACACAUUCAGCAACUGUUGGCAGCAGUAAACAAAAAAACAAUGAAAAUCGAUCACAAACUACGGUGAACAAUCAACUAAAUAGUUGUAGACAUUCAUACAUUUGUAUGUUAAUGUAAUGUAGUUGUAGUUAAUGUUUUUAAUCAUACUUUUGGCUUGUCAUUGCCAAUCUACAGUGAUUACAUUUUAGGUACGACGUUGCCGAAACCUAUUUCAUCAUCAAGAUGGCUCAAGAAAGAGAAUUUCUGAAAGAAUCUGUAAGCGACCUUCAGAACGUGAUACAUAGCUUAGAGAGUGACAAUUCGCCUCUGAACAGCACCCUACAACUAGUAUCCACCGCAAACCAAUAAUUUCGUCAGGCUUGUAUUGUUGGUGUACUUACAGGCAAUCGGGAACAUCACGGACACCGGGAGCCGUUGAGUUUUUUAUUUAGGUUUUGGAUGUAGUAGCAGUAGCAAGCGCCAGAUUUCGCAGUUGUACCCACUUUUUUGCUCUGAUUGGCUCUCGCAGCCAUUGAAGAUACGAGUCCAACGCAUCAUGCAACGCAACCGGCAUCUAGUGUUUCGUGAAGAAAUCAUAAUUGAUCCGUGCAAGCAAUUAAUUAUGUCAUCAAUAUCUUCCUGUUGGCAAGUUUUUUAUUGUUUAUUAGUGUAAAUAUUGCAAUUUGUUUCUCUUAAUAUUGCAACCAACUAAUUUCCUUUAUUGCACAUGGAUUAACUUUUUUAAA